CUCAAGGUCAAGGUCGCUGCUGGGCAGUGGGGGAGGGAGUCUCGUGGCCCCGCAGGAGAGGAGCAGGCACCUCCAGAUGUGGCCCAGGGCUCAAAGCUUCCCGAGGUCCUGGCACUGUCCCUGAGCUGGCCCUGGCUGCUGCCCAGGCAUGCUAGGACCCCCGCCGCAGCCCUCCAAGGAUGGACCAAGGUCCUAUUAGAAAAUAAGAGGUCCAAGCCACAGAAGUUCCCCUUCUCCAGGUCACUUAGAUCUCGAGAUCACUGGAGCCGGACGCCCAGGACCUCCCAGCCGGGACAGGGCUGUCUACCUCCAAGGGGGGACAUGUGCCGCUGAGGAUGGACCUCAAAGAGGACAUUGCUUUUUAUUUAUUUUUUUUGCUGGCCCGCUGGGGAUGGACCCCAGGGCGGCACACGUGACAGACAAGGGCUCUACCACCGAGCCACAGUCCCUCAGAGGACGCAGGCAGACCACAUGCCUCUUGUCCUGGGUCUUCUGAGCCGAUCCCCAGGAGCAGACGGUCCUCCUAAGUCAACCCCCAAACUCCUGGACUCCAACAGAAAACCAGCCCAACCCUCAAGAGUCUUUUGACAAAAGACCAGCCUCCCUCAGUCCCAGGUGGUCCCCGCAGGCCCCGCCCACAUCCCCCCCUUCCCAGCUUGCCUGUGCCUUGUGACGAGGAGCUCACUACCUACAGUAGCUGGGUCUGCCAUCUGACAUCUCUGUUUCCCUCCAGGCACCUGGGCGGGAAGCUAGUCCCCACAGAUGCAAAGAGUCGGUCCAUAACACCCUUGGGAACGGCCGGCCGCCUGGGUGGGUCCUGUCUUAGUUAGUCCUACCACCCUGUACAUCUGGGUGCCCACACGGCAACCAUGAGGAACCGUGCUUACCCUUCCUUGCUUAUCAGAGAGUCUCCCCCAUUUAUCUGGCUACAGAUUGCUGCCUUCGAGAAGCAUCCUCCAGUGCCCGGUAGAUCUGGGAAGUGCAGGCCACCCAGGGGUUCCCAGAGUCAGAAUGGCGCUUAGCCCCCACCCCCGCCCCAUCCCCCUGGCUUCCUCUCCAAGAUCCGAGGUACGAAGAAGAAAGCUGAGGCUCUGGCGUGGAUGUGGUUUGAGUGGGACCCCUGUGCUGGGCGGUGGGACGAAAGCUCGGUCCCCAGGGUGGCCGGGCGGGAGGGGCGGAGCCGUUGAGCCAUGGGGAGGGGUCAGUGCUGGUCUCUAGGAAUGAGUUUUUGUUGGUACAGCGAGAGCAAGACCCGUCCCUCACCGUCUCUGGCUUCCUGUGUCACCCCGGGAACUCUGCCUCCUACACGCUACCCCAGCAUGAUGUCAUCCACCACAAAAGCCACCAGGACCUAGCAGAAGCCAGCGCAUGCUCUUGAACUUCCAGAGCUGAGCUAAAUAAACCUUUUGUCUUCAUAAAGCUCUCGG
rnacentral:lncRNA from 1 species